rnacentral:rRNA from 1 species
AUGUGGUUUAAUUCGACGCAACGCGAAGGACCUUACCUAGGCUUGACAUCCCGAUCGCACCUUAUGGAAACAUAGGGGUCAGUUCGGCUGGAUCGGUGACAGGUGCUGCAUGGCUGUCGUCAGCUCGUGUCGUGAGAUGUUGGGUUAAGUCCCGCAACGAGCGCAACCCUUGUCCUUAGUUGCCAGCAUUCAGUUGGGCACUCUAAGGAGACUGCCGGUGUCAAACCGGAGGAAGUGGGAUGACGUCAAGUCCUCAUGGCCCUUAUGACCAGGGCUACACACGUGCUACAAUGGCCGGUACAAAGAGUUGCGAUACCGUGAGGUGGAGCCAAUCUCAUAAAGCCGGUCUCAGUUCGGAUUGGAGUCUGCAACUCGACUCCAUGAAGUUGGAAUCGCUAGUAAUCGCGGAUCAGCAUGCCGCGGUCGAAUACGUUCCGGGCCUU